rnacentral:lncRNA from 1 species
AUCCUGGCCUAGGAAAAAGCUUCCUUGGUGAAGUUUAUCUUCUUUUGGGUGAACUCUGAAGAGGACCAAAAUGCUGCCACCACCAGCCAACUGGCAUUGGCAAGCUUCUUAUCAGACUUCCAAUGCUUCUUGCUCUCCACCAGAAGAUUUGUCUUGGCCUUCUUUAAUGCCACCUCGGCCCUCUUCUAUGCAGAUUCAGCUUUGUUCUGCACCACUUCCCUCAUCACCCUUACCACUUUGGCCUCCUUCUUUUCCACCUCAACUAUCGUAUGGGCGGCUUCAGCUUUCUCUAGUACCUCUUUAAGGCACUUUGCUUCGGCCUUGGCCUCAUUGGCCC